rnacentral:lncRNA from 1 species
GCAUGCCUAAUGUCACAAGCUGAUCCAAAUGAGCCUCCCCAUGGCCUUAUAUAGGGUCAGGAAGCUUCUGGAGACUCCUAGAGGGGGAAGAGUGUGGAAGGUUCUAGAGAAGUCUGGAGGAAUCCACACAAUUCUACACUAUGGUGGAAGGCACAAGAGGAGUCUGGGGCUUUCUAGAGAAAUCUAGAAGACUCUUGUAUAUACUUGUAUAUAGGCUUGUACCUAGAAUGGUGUAGGACAUUCUAGAAUAGUCUUGAGAUGUAAGGAACCCUCCAAGGUUCCAGAGAGUUCCAUUGGUGCCUAUAAAUAGGUGAGGGCCUCAUUUGGCCAAGGCACCAAGCAAGUGAGCAUCCAAGCACUUGUAAAGGCUUUCUUGAGAUAAUAAAGCUUCCAUUCUUUAAGGAGUUGCCUACCAAGCUUCUUAAGCUUUUGAGUUGCAAGUGUCUUAGCCUAGCAAGCUAAGCAUUGGGGAGCAAGGCUGACUUAGCAAGAUCAAGCGUCUUGGCUUGUCUAAGUGCCGCACGAGCUUAGUGAACGACUAAGUUCGUGACAAGUGGUAUCAGAGCGCGGUUACCAGGUGGGCAUACCAAAGGAAGCAUGUCGGGCUCUAAUGUGGAGGAGACUAGCGAGCAAACCCGUGGACGGGAGAUGGAGCAUACUACACGGGGCCGAGGCAGGAAGGAUAAGUCUCGUGACGCCUUAGCCAACAUGGAGGCAAGGCUAGCCAAGGUGGAGCUAGCCAUGGCGGAUACUCGGGAAGGGGUGGACUUGGUAGAGCAAGGCAUGGAGAAGGGCUUAGAGGAUCUAAGGGAGCAGAUCCAAGACCUUCGCGAGGGCGUGCUAGGUUCACAAGUUCAGCCGGUGUCACACGAGGAGUUCAUGUCCUUCCAAGACAAGGUCAUGACCAUGUUCGCUAGUGUGGAGUCAAGGAUGGAGGCCUUGGCUGCACGCAUGGAUGCCCGAGACCAAGAGAUCCGUCAAGAGCUGGCCAUCUACAAGACUGCGGUGUUAGCACGAGUCAUGGCCACUCAUGAGGCACCAAGGGUGGAGGUACCUAAGCCACACACGUUCAGUGGCAAGAGGGAUGCAAAGGAGCUGGAUAACUUCUUGUGGCACAUGGAGCGUUACUUUGAGGCAAUUGCAUUAAUGGAUGAAGCCACUAAGGUACGCACCGCGACCCUUUACCUCACUGAUAAUGCUACUCUAUGGUGGCGUCGACGGUUUGCCGACAUAGAGAGAGGGACGUGCACCAUAGACACAUGGGAUGCCUUUAAGAGAGAAAUCAAGAGGCAAUUCUAUCCGGAAGACGUGGCUUACCUCGCAAGGAAGAGUCUAAAGCGUCUCAAGCACACGGGCUCGAUCCGUGAGUAUGUCAAAGAAUUCUCUACUCUUAUGCUUGAGAUACCUAACAUGGCUGAGGAGGAGUUGUUGUUCAACUUCAUGGACAACUUGCAAAGCUGGGCCGAGCAAGAGUUGAGGAGACGUGGCAUCCAAGACCUAGCCACGGCCAUGGCAGUAGCCGAGUCCUUAGUGGAUUAUAGAAGGGGAGACUCCUCCAAGCCCAAGCCACCAUCCAAGGGUAACCAGGCCAAAGGUGGGGGAGACAAGAGGUCGCAAGGCCAAACUUCUAAGGAAGGAUCGAGCAAGGGCCCUAGUGGCAAGGACGGCAAAGGCAAGGACAAGCGAAAGGAGUUCACGCCCAAGACCAAUUGCUUCCUGUGCGAUGGUCCGCACUGGGCACGGGACUGCCCUAAGAGGAAGGCCUUAAAUGCUAUGAUCGAAGAAAAGGAGCAAGAAGGCGAUGCUAAGAUGGGAUCGUUGCAGCUCCUAAAUGCCCUUAAGGCCAAGCCGAUGCCUAAGACACCUCAAAGCAAAGGACUGAUGUAUGUGGAGGCCCUGGUGAAUGGAAAGGCCACCAAGGCCCUGGUGGACACAGGUGCCACUCACAACUUUGUCUCGGAGGAGGAGGCAAGAAGGUUGGAGCUCCAAGCAUCCAAGGAAGGAGGAUGGCUCAAGGCAGUCAAUUCAGCAGCCAAGCCAUCACAUGGAGUAGCUCGCGGGGUGACUAUGCACAUUGGCUCGUGGGAAGGAAAGGUCGACUUCACGGUGGCACCCAUGGACGACUUCAAGAUGGUGCUAGGAAUGGACUUCCUACAGAAGGUCAAAGCCGUGCCACUACCUUUCUUACGUUCAAUGGCUAUCCUAGAGGAGGAGAAGCCAUGCAUGGUCCCUACGGUCACUGAAGGUACGCUCAAAACCCCUAUGUUAUCCGCUAUGCAAGUAAAGAAGGGGUUAAAGAGGGAAGAGGUGACCUACCUCGCCACCUUAAAGGAAGAGAAGAAUGAUGGGUCGGAAGAACCCAUGCCUAAGGAAAUUGAGGGGGUCCUUGAUGAAUUCAAGGACGUAAUGCCGCCCGAGUUGCCUAAGAGACUUCCUCCUAGGAGAGAGGAAGAUCACAAGAUUGAGUUGGAGCCGGGAGCCAAGCCCCCUGCUAUGGGGCCAUAUAGGAUGGCACCACCCGAGUUGGAGGAGCUAAGGAGACAACUCAAGGAGUUACUAGAUGCGGGGUUCAUCCAACCGUCCAAGGCUCCCUAUGGCGCGCCGGUUCUAUUUCAGAAGAAGCAUGAUGGGUCCCUACGUAUGUGCAUAGAUUACCGAGCACUCAAUAAGGUGACGGUGAAGAACAAGUAUCCCAUCCCGCUCAUUGCUGACUUGUUCGAUCAACUCGGAAGGGUAAGGUACUUCACGAAGCUGGACCUAAGGUCAGGCUACUAUCAAGUCAGGAUUGCGGAGGGAGAUGAGCCAAAGACUACAUGUGUGACCAGGUAUGGCUCAUAUGAGUUCUUAGUGAUGCCUUUCGGACUCACUAAUGCCCCAGCAACGUUCUGCACCCUCAUGAACAAGAUCUUCCACCCAUACUUGGACAAGUUCGUGGUGGUGUACUUGGAUGACAUAGUCAUCUAUAAUAACACUCUAAAGGAGCACGUAGAGCACUUGAGGAAGGUCUUUGAGAUCUUGAGGCAGAACGAGCUAUACGUAAAGAAGGAGAAGUGCUCGUUUGCGAAGGAGGAAGUGAGCUUCCUAGGGCAUCGCAUCAGAAAUGGCAAGCUGAUGAUGGAUGAUAGUAAGGUGAAGGCCAUCCAGGAAUGGGAUCCACCAACCAAGGUACCUCAACUCAGAUCUUUCCUUGGUUUAGUUAAUUAUUACCGGCGGUUCAUAAAGGGUUAUUCGGCAAGGGCUGCCCCACUCACUGAUCUUCUUAAGAAGAGUAAGGCAUGGGAAUGGGAUGAAAGGUGCCAACAAGCCUUUGAGGACCUGAAGAAGGCCGUGACUGAGGAGCCAGUGUUGGCACUACCCGACCACACCAAGGUCUUUGAGGUACACACAGAUGCCUCAGACUUCGCUAUUGGGGGAGUCCUUAUGCAAGAAAGGCACCCAAUCGCAUUUGAGAGUCGCAAGCUGAACGACACGGAAAGGCGUUACACGGUGCAGGAAAAGGAGAUGACUGCCAUCAUCCACUGCUUGCGCACUUGGAGGCACUAUCUACUAGGGUCUCACUUCAUAGUGAAGACCGACAAUGUGGCCACUAACUACUUCCAGACACAGAAGAAGCUGAGUCCUAAACAAGCUAGGUGGCAAGACUUCCUGGCCGAGUUCGACUAUACGCUGGAGUAUAAGCCAGGAAGUGCUAAUCAUGUGGCCGACGCCCUAAGUCGCAAAGCCGAGCUAGCGUCCAUGUCGAGUCAGCCCCAAGGAGAUAUAGUGGAUCUUCUAAGGGAGGGACUGCAACAUGAUCCAGUGGCUAAGAGCCUUAUCGCCCUGGCUCAUGAAGGAAAGACUAAGCGGUUUUGGGUGGAGGAUGGCCUACUCUAUACAAAGGGGAGACGACUCUACGUGCCUAAGUGGGGGAAUAUAAGGAGGAACCUGAUUAAGGAGUGCCACGACACCAAGUGGGCUGGGCACCCUGGGCAACGACGCACUAGGGCACUACUCGAGUCGGCAUACUAUUGGCCUCAGAUACGGGACGAGGUUGAGGCCUAUGUGAGGACUUGUCUUGUGUGCCAACAAGACAAGGUGGAGCAGCGACAACCUAGAGGCCUGUUAGAGCCACUACCUAUAGCAGAACGCCCAUGGGACAGCGUCACCAUGGACUUCAUCAUCGGGCUACCCAAGUCAGAGGACAAUGGGUCUAUCAUAGUGGUGGUGGACAGGUUCUCUAAAUAUGCAACCUUCAUAGCAGCCCCGACUGACUGCACGGCGGAAGAGACAGCCAGGCUAUUCCUAAAGCACGUAGUCAAGUAUUGGGGGUUGCCUAAGUUCAUCAUCAGUGAUCGCGACCCGCGCUUCACUGGGAGGUUUUGGACGAAACUCUUCAAGCUUAUGGGUUCGGAGCUUCACUUCUCCACAAGCUUUCACCCACAGACGGAUGGGCAGACUGAGAGGGUGAACGCCUUAUUGGAGCUCUACCUAAGACACUUCGUGAGUGCCAACCAGAAGGAUUGGGCUAAGUUGCUAGAUGUAGCCCAGUUCUCAUACAACCUACAAAGGAGUGAGGCGACCAACAAGAGUCCGUUUGAGCUAGCUACGGGACAGCAACCGUUAACUCCUCACACCCUAACAAUUGGCUACACGGGGAAAAGUCCAGCGGCUUUCAAGUUCGCAAAAGGGUGGCACGAGCAAGCUGAUAUAGCACGCUCAUACUUGGACAAGGCCGCUAAGAAAAUGAAGAAGUGGGCUGACAAAAAGCGACGACACACGGAGUAUAAGGUCGGAGACAUGGUGCUUGUCAAGCUCCUUCCUCAACAAUUCAAGUCCCUAAGGCCGGUGCAUAAGGGCCUUGUGAGGAGGUAUGAAGGACCCUUCCCCAUACUUGGGAAGGUCGGCAAGGUAUCCUAUAAAGUCGAGCUGCCCCCGAGGUUGAAGAUUCAUCCUGUCUUCCACGCCAGCUACUUGAAGCCCUAUCAUGAAGACAAGGAUGAUCCAAGCCGAGGGUUGUCCAAGAGGGCACCUACAGCGGUCGUGACCUCCUAUGAUAAGGAGGUAGAAAUCAUCCUCGCAGACCGGGUCAUCAGGAGACGAGGAGUACCUCCUGCUACGGAAUACUUAGUGAAAUGGAAGGGACUACCAGAAAGCGAGGCCAGCUGGGAGCCAGCAGGGGCACUAUGGCAGUUCCAGGAGCAGAUCGAGCGGUUCCGGGCAGAAGGCGCGACGAGGACGUCUGCGGCAUAGGUGGGGGAGAGUGUCACAAGCUGAUCCAAAUGAGCCUCCCCAUGGCCUUAUAUAGGGCCAGGAAGCUUCUGGAGACUCAUAGAGGGGGAAGAGUGUGGAAGGUUCUAGAGAAGUCUGGAGGAAUCCACACAAUUCUACACUAUGGUGAAAGGCACAAGAGGAGUCCGGGGCUUUCUAGAGAAAUCUAGAAGACUCUUGUAUAUACUUGUAUAUAGGCUUGUACCUAGAAUGGUGUAGGACAUUCUAGAAUAGUCUUGAGAUGUAAGGAACCCUCCAAGGUUCCAGAGAGUUCCAUUGGUGCCUAUAAAUAGGUGAGGGCCUCAUUUGGCCAAGGCACCAAGCAAGUGAGCAUCCAAGCACUUGUAAAGGCUUUCUUGAGAUAAUAAAGCUUCCAUUCUUUAAGGAGUUGCCUACCAAGCUUCUUAAGCUUUUGAGUUGCAAGUGUCUUAGCCUAGCAAGCUAAGCAUUGGGGAGCAAGGCUGACUUAGCAAGAUCAAGCGUCUUGGCUUGUCUAAGUGCCGCACGAGCUUAGUGAACGACUAAGUCCGUGACA